CUUAUUAUAACGCAGAGUUUAGGGCAGCCCGGGCGGGCAAGUCGCGCCUGCGGCUGGGAUCGCUCCUUCUUCUUCGGGCAGCUCUUUCGGCGUCUGGGAUCGCCCCUUUGUCUCCCGGUUUUCCCCUUUGUGUGCCCGCCUUCUAAAGUUCGUCCGGCCCUGCCCGUCGCAAUGUAACAAUCUGCCCUGAUCCAGUACAAACUACAAAGGUGUAAAAGUUAUCUUUAUCUCCUCUUCUCUCUCCUGUUUGCUGCCCUAUUUUCUCUUCUCUCCUCUUCUCUUUUAUAUCUUCUCAAAUUCCAUCAAUCUUCUCAAUCAUAUCUCCGACAAACUCAACAGGUUAUUUUUAUCUCCUCUUCUCUCUCCUGUUUGCUGCCCUAUUUUCUCUUCUCUCCUCUUCUCUUCUUCUCCAUCAUAUCGGAACUCAAAAGGUUAUCUUUAUCUCCUCUUCUCUCUCCUGUUUGCUGCCUUAUUUUAUCUUCCAUCAAUCUGAUUGUUUUUUUUCAGUAAUUGUUUUUUUUUUUAUGAUGUUGUUUUUAG
rnacentral:lncRNA from 1 species